CAAACAUCAUGUACAGGUCAAAUUCUUAUGGAAGAAGCAGAGACAAUGUCAUCUUUUUAGCAGUCGAUUAAAUCUGGGAACUAUAUUAAAGAUCUCGAUCAGUGUUGAGAACAUCACAAAGGCUUUGAUCCGUGAAGCCCAAUAAGGUGGAGAUGUGCGAGUAAUACGGAUCGAAAUGAGAUGUGUGAUUAAUACGGAUCGAAAUGUCCAAGUACCAAGAUCCGCGUGUUUUACCAAAGGACCCGAGUAUAGGAUCCGAGAUCCGCGUCCCAACAGAGGCAAUUUUACGAUUUUACCCUUUUUGAAAUGUUUUUUUUUGUUGUUUAAUACUGAAAUUGUAAUGGCAUUCCCUUGUAAUUUUUUACACUUUUUAAGGUUAUUUUUCAGGGAAUGCUUCCCAAUUAAUAGUAUAGAUUACUUUGUCA